rnacentral:rRNA from 1 species
UUCUGGUUGAUCCCGGCGGAGGUUACUGCUAUCGAGGUUCGACUAAGCCAUGCGAGUCGAAUGUAGCAAUACAUGGCGUACUGCUCAGUAACACGUGGACAACCUGCCCUUGAGACGGGGAUAAACCCGGGAAACUGGGUAUAAUACCCGAUAGAUCUCGAUUGCUGGAAUGCAUCGAGCUUGAAAGCUCCGGCGCUCAAGGAUGGGUCUGCGGCCUAUCAGGUAGUAGUGGGUGUAGCGUACCUACUAGCCUACGACGGGUACGGGUUGUGAGAGCAAGAGCCCGGAGAUGGAUUCUGAGACACGAAUCCAGGCCCUACGGGGUGCAGCAGGCGCGAAAACUUUACAAUGCUGGAAACAGCGAUAAGGGGACCUCGAGUGCCAGGUUACAAAUCUGGCUGUCGUGAUGCCUAAAAAGCAUUGCAUAGCAAGGGCCGGGCAAGACCGGUGCCAGCCGCCGCGGUAACACCGGCGGCUCGAGUGGUAACCGUUAUUAUUGGGUCUAAAGGGUCUGUAGCCGGCCGGAUAAGUCUCUUGGGAAAUCUGGCAGCUUAACUGUCAGGCUUUCAGGAGAUACUGUCUGGCUCGAGGCCGGGAGAGGUGAGAGGUACUUCAGGGGUAGGGGUGAAAUCUUGUAAUCCUUGAAGGACCACCAGUGGCGAAGGCGUCUCACCAGAACGGACCUGACGGCAAGGGAC